rnacentral:tRNA from 2 species
GGGGAGUUGCCCGAGCGGUCAAUGGGAGCAGACUGUAAAUCUGCCGGCGGACGCCUACGUUGGUUCGAAUCCAACACUCCCCACCA